rnacentral:rRNA from 1 species
AACGGCCAUACCAUGCUGAAUAUACCGGUUCUCGUUAGAUCACCGAAGUCAAGCAUCAUUGGGCGCGGUCAGUACUGGGUGGGUGACCACCUGGGAACACCGCGUGCCGUU